AGCACUAUUGCUGGAUCACAUGGUAAGAAUACGUUUACUUUUAUAAGAAACUGCCAAACUGCCUUCCAAAGUGGCUGUACCAUUUUGCAUUUCCACCAGCAAU
rnacentral:pre_miRNA from 1 species